UUACUGAGUGAGGGUCCCUCGGGGCCCAACCUCCCACCCGUGUAUACCGUACCUUGUUGCUUCGGCGGGCCCGCCGCGCAAGCGGCCGCCGGGGGGGCGUCAAACCCCCCUCCCUAGGCGAGCGCCCGCCGGAGACACCAACGUGAACACUGUCUGAAGUUUUGUUGUCUGAGUUCGAUUGUAUCGCAAUCAGUUAAAACUUUCAACAAUGGAUCUCUUGGUUCCGGCAUCGAUGAAGAACGCAGCGAAAUGCGAUAAUUAAUGUGAAUUGCAGAAUUCAGUGAAUCAUCGAGUCUUUGAACGCACAUUGCACCCCCUGGUAUUCCGGGGGGUAUGCCUGUCCGAGCGUCAUUGCUGCCCUCAAGCACGGCUUGUGUGUUGGGUCGUCGUCCCCCCCGGGGACGGGCCCGAAAGGCAGCGGCGGCACCGCGUCCGGUCCUCGAGCGUAUGGGGCUUUGUCACCCGCUCUUGUAGGCCCGGCCGGCGCUGGCCGACGCUGAACAAGCAACCAACUAUUUCUCCAGGUUGACCUCGGAUCAGGUAGGGAUACCCGCUGAACUUAAGCAUAUCAAUAAGCGGAGGAAAAGAAACCAACCGGGAUUGCCUCAGUAACGGCGAGUGAAGCGGCAAGAGCUCAAAUUUGAAAUCUGGCCCCCUCGGGGUCCGAGUUGUAAUUUGCAGAGGAUGCUUCGGGUGCGGCCCCCGUCUAAGUGCCCUGGAACGGGCCGUCAUAGAGGGUGAGAAUCCCGUCUGGGACGGGGUGUCCGCGUCCGUGUGAAGCUCCUUCGACGAGUCGAGUUGUUUGGGAAUGCAGCUCUAAAUGGGUGGUAAAUUUCAUCUAAAGCUAAAUACUGGCCGGAGACCGAUAGCGCACAAGUAGAGUGAUCGAAAGAUGAAAAGCACUUUGAAAAGAGAGUUAAAAAGCACGUGAAAUUGUUGAAAGGGAAGCGCUUGCGACCAGACUCGCCCGCGGGGUUCAGCCGGCAUUCGUGCCGGUGUACUUCCCCGCGGGCGGGCCAGCGUCGGUUUGGGCGGCCGGUCAAAGGCCCCCGGAAUGUAGUGCCCCUACGGGGGCACCUUAUAGCCGGGGGUGCAAUGCGGCCAGCCGGACCGAGGAACGC
rnacentral:rRNA from 1 species